rnacentral:rRNA from 1 species
GUCUCUUCGGGGAUGAUUAACCGACGCACGGGUGAGUAACACGUGAGUGACCUGCCUUUUAGACUGGAACAACUUACCGAAAGGUGAGCUAAUGCCGGAUGAGUUAUAUAAGUGCAUGUUUAUAUAGGAAAAGUUGGGGAGACCUGACGCUGAAAGAUGGACUCGCGUCCCAUUAGCUAGUUGGUAGGGUAAUGGCCUACCAAGGCGACGAUGGGUAGCCGGCCUGAGAGGGUGGCCGGCCACACUGGGACUGAGACACGGCCCAGACUCCUACGGGAGGCAGCAGUGGGGAAUUUUGCGCAAUGCUCGUAAGAGUGACGCAGCGACGCCGCGUGAAUGACGAAGGCCUUCGGGUCGUAAAGUUCUUUCGACAGGGAAGAAAAUGCCUAUAAGUAACUGUGUAUGUAUUGACGGUACCUGUAUAAGCAGCCCCGGCUAACUCCGUGCCAGCAGCCGCGGUAAUACGGAGGGGGCGAGCGUUGUUCGGAGUGACUGGGCGUAAAGAGCACGUAGGCGGUGUUGUAAGUCAUUAGUCAAAGACUAGAGCUCAACUUUAGUAAGGCUAGUGAUACUAUAAUACUAGAGUAUCAGAGAGGAUUGCAGAAUUCCUGGUGUAGCGGUGAAAUGCGUAGAUAUCAGGAGGAAUACCGUUAGCGAAGGCGGCAAUCUGGCUGGAAACUGACGCUGAGGUGCGAAAGCGUGGGUAGCAAACAGGAUUAGAUACCCUGGUAGUCCACGCUGUAAACGAUGGAUGCUAGGUGUUGGGCUUUUAAGUUCAGUGCCGCAGCAAACGCGAUAAGCAUCCCGCC